AUUUUGCAUCAAUAACUGGUGCGAUAAUAAGUCUCGCAACACUGCCCAUGUUGUUUUUGUCGACCAUGUUGUUGUGCGGGCAGUUCGCGUUUCGAAUCUUGUUCCGCCGGUGCCAUUUUGUCGCGAGAAUCAAGAAAAGUGAUCGUUUUGUGAGUUUGGUGACCGCGAUUUGCCUGCAAGACGGCCGCUGCUGCAAUCACAGGCGAUUUUUCUUCCCGUCCUCCUCCGAGUGCGGCCAAGGAAGUGCAGAAGAAGACGCACGCAUUCCAUCAGGUUUUAAUCCAUCAACGGGAUUGCCCGUACGUACGCGCCCCCCAACGGAAUCCGUCUCUUUCCAGGGGAAUCGAAUGAAGCCAAAAUUUGUGUCAUUCCGGGCAUGAAUUAUGUCGCCCAUGCGAAUAUUCUGCCGUAUGAUUCCGGCGAAAAUCAUCCGCUGCAACACGAGCUGUUCCGUAAGUUUGUGGCGCACCAACCGGACAAGGACCCGCUGUUAAGCGUUCAGGAGGAUGACAGGGCAUGGAAAAAGUGGAACCAAUGGCUGGAGCACGUCGAAUCACCGAAGGCAUACGGGUGACCGUGUUCCCGUUCUACAUGGGAUGUCGCGAUACGUCAGCUGCUUCGGUGUAUUUGGUCGGUACGAAUAACAUUAUCGAGCUCUGUGAAUCAUUUUAAUGGUUUCUAAGGCAACCUCAACACAUCCUUGAGUGCCUUCAGACUUGUAUUUCAUCUGGAAGUGUUCACUGCGGAUCUUCAGAUUCAUCACCGGAAGCGUCCAAGCCAUUAUGUUCCAUAUUUUAAAUAAUUAUUUAAUGCUAUAAAACAAAUGUAAUAAAUGAUUCAUAAAUAAUACAAUAAAAAGUAAUUGAUGAU